GCGCAGCGCGCGGCGCUCUCCAUCACCGCCAACUGCUGCCAGAAUCUCACACCAGACGAAUUCCAUCUCGUUAGGGACUCUCUACAGCUACUAGCUAACAGAUUAACACAGCAAGACAAGAAAUCGGUGGAGUGCGUCUGCAUGGCGUUCUCACGACUUGUAGACAGCUUCCAGAACGAUCCGGCGCGACUUCAAGAGAUCGCUACACCAGAGUUGCUUACAAACUUGCAGCAACUUCUGGUGGUGCAGCCGGCGCUAAUCUCUGGCAGCACGUUCAUCACGGUGCUGCGGCUGCUGUGG